UGCCCCAUGGCUGAGUUGGUUACAGCGUCCGACUGUUAAAUGCCAGUCAUACGACACGCUUAAAUAAUCGGAAGGUCGUGAGUUCGAGCCUCACUGGGGCAG
rfam:Phanerochaete carnosa HHB-10118-sp unplaced genomic scaffold PHACAscaffold_7, whole genome shotgun sequence.